rnacentral:tRNA from 1 species
GGCGCGGUAGUGCAGUGGGUAGCACUGUCGCCUCACAGCAUGAAGGUUGUGGGUUCGAAUCUCGGCUUAGGGCCU